GGGUGGAUUCCCGAGUGGCCAAAGGGGACAGACUGUAAAUCUGCUGCGAUUCGCUUCGGUGGUUCGAAUCCACCUCCGCCCA
rnacentral:tRNA from 3 species